GCUAAGAAGGCUUGAUUCAUAAUGAUCAGCAAGUCUCAAUAAAGAUAUUUGGACACCAGAGCUGUUGAGGGAAGUCAUCAAAGCACCGGCAUAGACCCGUAGAGGCCGCAAGCCUUUUUUCUCUGAGAGAAUUUUCAUGCACAUUGUGCAACCAUGUUCAAGGGAAGUUCACGUUCUGCAAGGGCACCAGCCACCUUGGCAACGAACAGCAUACCUACAAGACCUCUUCGUCCGGCCCUUCCCAAUUCGCUUAUCGGUAUGCUGGAGUCCUCUCCGACAGGACGAUGCCAGCGUUGUCACAGAAAUAAUUAAUUAUCAUUAUCGACUCAAAGGAACUACCUGAUGCCCAAGGCUCGUGACCUGAACCCCCACCACUGACAACGGCGACUUUUCCAUUCCGUACCUUCCACUGGAAACCGAAUAAGAAGCUGAUAAUUGUAUAUUAUAUACAAUUACUUACAACUAUAGUGAUAAUAUCUGGAGAAGGAGGAAUAUCUGGCAAACCUACGUCGUGUUGCAAUGCAUUCUCGAUAAUAGAACAGGUACUACUACUACUAUCAUUACUAAGGGACACCUAUUAACAUGUUAAGUUCCUAUAAUUGUGAGAAAAAUUCUACAUAGCUAGUAUACAUAAUACACGAUAUACAUUGGUUGACA